UACGUAGGUGGCAAGCGUUGUCCGGAAUUAUUGGGCGUAAAGCGCGCGCAGGCGGUCCUUUAAGUCUGAUGUGAAAGCCCACGGCUCAACCGUGGAGGGUCAUUGGAAACUGGGGGACUUGAGCGCAGAAGAGGAGAGUGGAAUUCCACGUGUAGCGGUGAAAUGCGUAGAGAUGUGGAGGAACACCAGUGGCGAAGGCGACUCUCUGGUCUGUAACUGACGCUGAGGCGCGAAAGCGUGGGGAGCAAACAGG
rnacentral:rRNA from 1 species